AUUGAACGCUGGCGGCAUGCUUUACACAUGCAAGUCGAACGGUAACAGGCCGCAAGGUGCUGACGAGUGGCGAACGGGUGAGUAAUGCAUCGGAACGUGCCCAGUCGUGGGGGAUAACGCAGCGAAAGCUGCGCUAAUACCGCAUACGAUCUAUGGAUGAAAGCGGGGGACCGUAAGGCCUCGCGCGAUUGGAGCGGCCGAUGUCAGAUUAGGUAGUUGGUGAGGUAAAGGCGCACCAAGCCAACGAUCUGUAGCUGGUCUGAGAGGACGACCAGCCACACUGGGACUGAGACACGGCCCAGACUCCUACGGGAGGCAGCAGUGGGGAAUUUUGGACAAUGGGCGCAAGCCUGAUCCAGCAAUGCCGCGUGCAGGAAGAAGGCCUUCGGGUUGUAAACUGCUUUUGUACGGAACGAAACGGUCCGGGUUAAUACCCUGGGCUAAUGACGGUACCGUAAGAAUAAGCACCGGCUAACUACGUGCCAGCCGCCGCGGUAAGAC
rnacentral:rRNA from 1 species